AGAUGGCGACCGGCGCACGGGUGAGUAACACGUAUCCAACCUGCCGAUAACUCGGGGAUAGCCUUUCGAAAGAAAGAUUAAUACCCGAUGGUAUAAUCAGACCGCAUGGUUUGAUUAUUAAAGAAUUUCGGUUAUCGAUGGGGAUGCGUUCCAUUAGGCAGUUGGUGAGGUAACGGCUCACCAAACCUUUGAUGGAUAGGGGUUCUGAGAGGAAGGUCCCCCACAUUGGAACUGAGACACGGUCCAA
rnacentral:rRNA from 1 species